CCUACGGGUGGCAGCAGUGGGGAAUAUUGCACAAUGGGCGCAAGCCUGAUGCAGCCAUGCCGCGUGUGUGAAGAAGGCCUUCGGGUUGUAAAGCACUUUCAGCGGGGAGGAAGGCGGUGAGGUUAAUAACCUCAUCGAUUGACGUUACCCGCAGAAGAAGCACCGGCUAACUCCGUGCCAGCAGCCGCGGUAAUACGGAGGGUGCGAGCGUUAAUCGGAAUUACUGGGCGUAAAGCGCACGCAGGCGGUCUGUCAAGUCGGAUGUGAAAUCCCCGGGCUCAACCUGGGAACUGCAUUCGAAACUGGCAGGCUAGAGUCUUGUAGAGGGGGGUAGAAUUCCAGGUGUAGCGGUGAAAUGCGUAGAGAUCUGGAGGAAUACCGGUGGCGAAGGCGGCCCCCUGGACAAAGACUGACGCUCAGGUGCGAAAGCGUGGGGAGCAAACAGGAUUAGAUACCCCUGUAGUC
rnacentral:rRNA from 1 species